rnacentral:rRNA from 1 species
UAAUACGUAGGUGGCAAGCGUUGUCCGGAUUUAUUGGGUUUAAAGGGUGCGUAGGCGGCCCUGUAAGUCAGUGGUGAAAUACUCUAGCUUAACUAGAGGGGUGCCAAUGAUACUGCAGGGCUUGAGUACAGAUGAGGUAGGCGGAAUUGACGGUGUAGCGGUGAAAUGCAUAGAUAUCGUCAAGAACACCUAUAGCGAAGGCAGCUUACUGGGCUGUAACUGACGCUGAGGCACGAAAGUGUGGGGAUCAAACAGGAUUAGAUACCCUGGUAGUCCACACUGUAAACGUUGAUUACUCGCUGUUUGCGAUACACUGCAAGCGGCUUAGCGAAAGCGAUAAGUAAUCCACCUGGGGAGUACGCCGGCAACGGUG